AGUCGAACGAGAUCUUCGGGUCUAGUGGCGCACGGGUGCGUAACGCGUGGGAAUCUGCCCUUUGGUUCGGAAUAACAGUUGGAAACGACAGCUAAUACCGGAUGAUGACGAAAGUCCAAAGAUUUAUCGCCAGAGGAUGAGCCCGCGUAGGAUUAGCUAGUUGGUGUGGUAAAGGCGCACCAAGGCGACGAUCCUUAGCUGGUCUGAGAGGAUGAUCAGCCACACUGGGACUGAGACACGGCCCAGACUCCUACGGGAGGCAGCAGUGGGGAAUAUUGGACAAUGGGCGAAAGCCUGAUCCAGCAAUGCCGCGUGAGUGAUGAAGGCCUUAGGGUUGUAAAGCUCUUUUACCCGGGAUGAUAAUGACAGUACCGGGAGAAUAAGCUCCGGCUAACUCCGUGCCAGCAGCCGCGGUAAUACGGAGGGAGCUAGCGUUGUUCGGAAUUACUGGGCGUAAAGCGCACGUAGGCGGCUUUGUAAGUUAGAGGUGAAAGCCUGGAGCUCAACUCCAGAACUGCCUUUAAGACUGCAUCGCUUGAAUCCAGGAGAGGUGAGUGGAAUUCCGAGUGUAGAGGUGAAAUUCGUAGAUAUUCGGAAGAACACCAGUGGCGAAGGCGGCUCACUG
rnacentral:rRNA from 1 species